CGUGUACUAGCUGUUAGGGCUGAGAGCUGGGACCUAGAGAGAAAUUCAGUCAUGUUUGUCCUGGGUUCCAUCGAGAUAGGUGUGGGGAUAGGCUUGAUUUCUAUUACAAAUAAUGUAACAUUACAUAUGUUAGUACUCCUAACACUUCUUGGGACUGUGCCUCAGGGAUCACAACCUAUAUAAGUUUAGAAGUUCUGAAAGACAGUCAUGACCUUGGUGUAUAGGUUCAGAUAGUGUCCAGAUUGGAAUCCUGAUGCUAAAGACUUAGUAAGAGACAAAAAAAAGGAGUUGAGAAUUACUUAGGGCUAGGGCUAUCUAGGUGCUACAAGGGCAGCACAAGGACAUCUGCUGUUGCCCUACAAUACAAGGCUUAUAGAGAAUUCAGAACUGCCAUUGACUCAGAUAUAAAAAGAGUAAAAGACUUUUUAGCUGACCUCCAAGAAUACCUAACUUCCCUCUCAGAGGUAGUCCUUCAAAAUAAGAAAAGAUCAGACCUGAUAUUCCUUAAAGAAGGAAUCUGUGUGCUACACUGAAAGAAAAAUGUUGCUUCUAUACAGACCAUUCAGGAGUAAUUAAAGACUCCAUAAAUAAACUUAAAAAAAGGUUAGACAAAAGACAGACAGACAGAAAAACACAUCAGAGAUAGUUCGAGAGCUAGUUUAGUAGAUCUCCCUGGAUGACUACCCUACUCUCUGCUACAGCUGGGCCAUUAUUAAUAAUUUUCUUGGUUUUAGUUUUUGGCUCCUGCGUGACAAACAGGUUAAUUGCUUUUGUUAAAAAUUGAGUGGGUGCUGUGCGGUUGAUGGUCCUGAGACAACAGUACCAGUCAGUUAGGACAACUGGUGAGACCAAAUAAGACUUGAUAUCAAAAUUCUAAGAUUAGAAUUAUUUAGUAGGAGAAGACGGGAAUGAAAAGAAAAUUAUACAAAUUCUAGGUUUAGAAAUAUAAAAUUAAAAGAGUUAGCCCCAAAAGCCACAAACUCAGGGCUAAGCCCUGCCGCCAGGAAUAACAGGCCAUAAAGAUAAAGAAAAGGA
rnacentral:lncRNA from 1 species